GACGAACGCUGGCGGCGUGCUUAACACAUGCAAGUCGAACGGAAAGGCCCUGCUUUUGUGGGGUGCUCGAGUGGCGAACGGGUGAGUAACACGUGAGUAACCUGCCCUUGACUUUGGGAUAACUUCAGGAAACUGGGGCUAAUACCGGAUAGGAGCUCCUGCUGCAUGGUGGGGGUUGGAAAGUUUCGGCGGUUGGGGAUGGACUCGCGGCUUAUCAGCUUGUUGGUGGGGUAGUGGCUUACCAAGGCGUUGACGGGUAGCCGGCCUGAGAGGGUGACCGGCCACAUUGGGACUGGAAUUCGGCCCAGAGUUCUUCGGGAGGCUACAGUGGGGAAUCUUGCAGAAUGGGCGGAAUCCAGAUGCAGCAACGCCGCGUGCGGGGUGACGGCCUUCGGGUUGUAAAGCGCUUUCGCCUGUGCCGAUGCGUGAGUGACGGUAAUGGGUGAAGAAGCACCGGGGAACUACGUG
rnacentral:rRNA from 1 species